rnacentral:rRNA from 1 species
GACGUAGGAGGCGAGCGUUGUCCGGAUUCAUUGGGCGUAAAGAGCGCGCAGGCGGCUUGGUAAGUCGGAUGUGAAAACCCGAGGCUCAACCUCGGGCGUGCAUCCGAAACUGCUCGGCUAGAGGUAGGUAGGGGAGAUCGGAAUUCCUGGUGUAGCGGUGAAAUGCGCAGAUAUCAGGAGGAACACCGGUGGCGAAGGCGGAUCUCUGGGCCGAUACUGACGCUGAGGAGCGAAAGCGUGGGGAGCGAACAGG